rnacentral:lncRNA from 1 species
GAAGAUAAGAAGACAAAUAAAUGGAAGAAACAGGAUAUCUCUGUUGGCAGUACAACAUCUUGUGCUUUCCGUGGAAUGAUCAGCUCCUACAGCAAAUUCAUCAUCUCCUUUGCUGAGGAUGAAGCAGGUGAACUGUAUUUUAUGUCUACUUCUUAUCCCAGUGCCUAUACACCAUGUGGAUUGCUCUACAAGCUCAUCGAUCCUGCAAGAGACUGUCCUUGAGCUGCAAAAUGAACCUUCAAGAACCAUGCCUUCAAAAAAACCUUCUACCCUCACUGCAGCCACCCCAAGAGUUUCUUCUAAGAAAGCAAAAAAGACCACAUUCACCAAAGUAAAAGCAUCAACAGGAAAACCAGCUCCAUCUGGUAGAGACAGAGAAUCAAAGCUGAGGCUAAACCUCAUAAGGGAAAGAAGACUGGACUCAACUCCAGAACUGCACCAGCACCACCUUUGCCAAAAAUGAAGAGCUCCCACCUAGCCAGAAUCAAGGAAGUUCUUCCAAAGAAAGCAGCACUACCUGAGGGAAAAGUGGAGAAGACAAGCAAAAUAGCUUUUAAAGCUCAGUGAUGUCCCAGAAAAAGCAAGUAGCUUAUAAAAUGGUGCAACAAAAGUGUUGAAUAGUGAUCAAAUGAAAGAAGAUUUUGGCUGACUUGUUAUGGUACGCUCCCAGGUGUGUCCCUAUUAAUGGCAGUGUUAGCAGUCUCUACAUAUGUUCUAUUAAACAUUAAACUUUAACAGCACCACCUUCCAAGUCCUGCUGUGAUGUCCUUUUCUGACAUAAGCGGUUA